rnacentral:rRNA from 1 species
UAGCGUAUGUUAAAGUUGUUGCGGCUAAAAAGCUCGUAGUUGGAUUUCUGUUGAGGACAUCCGGUCCACUCUAUGAGUGUGCAUCUGGCAUGGCCUCGGCAUCCGCCCUGCAAACGUGUCUGCGCUUGAUUGCGUGGCAUGGAGGUAGGGCCUUUUACUUUGAGGAAAUUAGAGUGUUCACGGCAGGCAAUCGCCUUGAAUAUAUUAGCAUGGAAUAAUAAUAUAGGAUCUUGGUUCUAUUUUGUUGGUUUCUAGGGCUAGGAUAAUGAUUAAUAGGGACAGUUGGGGGCAUUCGUAUUGCGGUGUC